rnacentral:rRNA from 1 species
GAUGAACGCUGGCGGCGUGCCUAAUACAUGCAAGUCGAGCGAACGGACGAGAAGCUUGCUUCUCUGAUGUUAGCGGCGGACGGGUGAGUAACACGUGGAUAACCUACCUAUAAGACUGGGAUAACUUCGGGACACCGGAGCUAAUACCGGAUGAUAUUUUGAACCGCAUGGUUCAAAAGUGAAAGACGGUCUUGCUGUCACUUAUAGAUGGAUCCGCGCUGCAUUAGCUAGUUGGUAAGGUAACGGCUUACCAAGGCAACGAUGCAUAGCCGACCUGAGAGGGUGAUCGGCCACACUGGAACUGAGACACGGUCCAGACUCCUACGGGAGGCAGCAGUAGGGAAUCUUCCGCAAAGGGCGAAAGCCUGACGGAGCAACGCCGCGUGAGUGAUGAAGGUCUUCGGAUCGUAAAACUCUGUUAUUAGGGAAGAACAUAUGUGUAAGUAACUGUGCACAUCGUGACGGUACCUAAUCAGAAAGCCACGGCUAACUACGUG